UUCCAGACUCCUACGGGAGGCAGCAGUGAGGAAUAUUGGUCAAUGGCCGAAGGGCUGAACCAGCCAAGCCGCGUGAGGGAUGAAGGUCCAGAGUAUCGUAAACCUCUUUUGUCAGGGAACAAAGGCGGGGACGCGUCCCCGGAUGAGUGUGCCUGAAGAAAAAGCAUCGGCUAACUCCGUGCCAGCAGCCGCGGUAAUACGGAGGAUGCGAGCGUUAUCCGGAUUUAUUGGGUUUAAAGGGUGCGUAGGCGGAAUGCUAAGUCAGCGGUAAAAUCGCGGGGCUCAACCUCGCUCCGCCGUUGAAACUGGCGUUCUUGAGUGGGCGAGAAGUAUGCGGAAUGCGUGGUGUAGCGGUGAAAUGCAUAGAUAUCACGCAGAACUCCGAUUGCGAAGGCAGCGUACCGGCGCCCAACUGACGCUCAUGCACGAAAGCGUGGGCAUCGAACAGGAUUAGAUACCCGCGUAC
rnacentral:rRNA from 1 species